AGGGGCAUAGCUCAGUUGGUUAGAGUGUCGGUCUCCAAAACCGAAGGUCGUAGGUUCGAAUCCUACUGCCCCUGCCA
rnacentral:tRNA from 1 species